rnacentral:rRNA from 1 species
CUUGGUCAUUUAGAGGNAGUAAAAGUCGUAACAAGGUUUCCGUAGGUGAACCUGCGGAAGGAUCAUUACAAGUGAGGCUACCGAACGUUGGAAACAGCGGUUAGGAGCUUACACCCACCCGUGUUUACAUACUAUUGUUGCUUUGGCGGGCCGUGGCCUCCACUGCGGGCUCUGCUCGUGUGUGCCCGCCAGAGGACCAAACUCUGAAUGUUAGUGAUGUCUGAGUACUAUCUAAUAGUUAAAACUUUCAACAACGGAUCUCUUGGUUCUGGCAUCGAUGAAGAACGCAGCGAAAUGCGAUAAGUAAUGUGAAUUGCAGAUUUUCAGUGAAUCAUCGAAUCUUUGAACGCACCUUGCGCUCCUUGGUAUUCCGAGGAGCAUGCCUGUUUGAGUGUCAUUAAAUUCUCAACUCCAAGGGUUUCACGACCUUUCGGAGAUUGGACUUGGAGGUGCUGGCCGCAUAUUGGUCGGCUCCUCUCAAAUGCAUCAGCGGAAUUCAACCUUUGGCUUCCGGAUGUCAGUGUGAUAAUCAUGUUGCGCUGUCGUUUGAUCCCUCAGAGUCCGCUUAUAAUGGUCUUCGGACAAAAUCAUCAUCAAAUUUGACCUCAAUCAGGUAGGACUACCCGCUGAACUUAAGCAUAUCAAUAAGCGGAGA